rnacentral:misc_RNA from 1 species
UAUUUAUACUUAUUAUUUAGUUGUGCAGUUUUAAUUAUAUAUUUAAAUAUCUAUUCAUUUCAUGAACUUUGCAAGGCUGUUCCCAUUAUGUUAUGGCCAUUAUAGGCUUGUUUCCAUUAUCCAUGACUGCGAUUUAAAUCCAUGAUCUCCACUAUGGUUUAUAUGAAUUGUUUUUUAUUAUGAUAAAGUUCCCUGUAUUGUUAUUGUGGGAAAACAUUCUUUUUUGAAAAUUUUUUUUUAUCAUCUGCAGAUCUUUAAGUUGUUGUUUUGACUUUGACUUAUUUUUUCUUUUAUUUUUUGCAGGUGUUGUUAAUAAUAUUUUAAGAACCAAUGAGCGGUUCAAUGUUCCU